rnacentral:rRNA from 1 species
AUGGCCAAGAUCCGAGAGAGGAAGACGAGGGAUAUUGGCCAAGUCAAAUGCAUCAAGGACAGAGCAGACCAACUCUUGGUGAAGGAUGAUGAGACUAAGCAUAGAUGGCGGGAGUACUCCGACAAGUUGUUCAAUGGGGAGAAUGAGAGUUCUACCAUUGAACUGGACGACUCCUUUGAUGAGACUAGCAUGCGUUUUGUGCGGCGAAUCCAUGAGUCUAAGGUCAAGGAGGCUUUAAAAAGGAUGAAAGGAGGCAAGGCGAUGGGCCCUGAUUGUAUCCCCAUUGAGGUGUGGAAAGGCCUUGGGGACAUAGAGAUAGUAUGGCUAACCAAGCUUUUCAACCUCGUUUUUCAGGCAAACAAGAUGCCAGAAGAAUGGAGAUGGAGUAUAUUAGUACCAAUCUUCAAGAACAAGGGGGAUGUUCAGAGUUGUACUAAUUACCGUGGAAUUAAGCUGAUGAGCCAUACAAUGAAGCUAUGGGAGAGAGUCAUUGAGCACCGCUUAAGAAGAAUGACAAGCGUGACCAAAAAUCAGUUUGGUUUCAUGCCUGGGAGGUCAACCAUGGAAGCCAUUUUCUUGGUACGACAACUUAUGGAGAGAUACAAGGAGCAAAAGGACUUGCAUAUGGUGUUCAUAGACUUGGAGAAGGCCUAUGGUUUGGGCAUAUUCAGCGCAGGCCUCCAGAAGCUCCAGUGCAUAGCGGAUGGCUAA